rnacentral:rRNA from 1 species
AUUGAACGCUGGCGGCAGGCCUAACACAUGCAAGUCGAGCGAGCGGCGGGCGGGUGAGUAAUGUAUGUGAACUGCCCGCUAUAGGGGGAUAACUACUGGAAACGGUGGCUAAUACCGCAUACUGGCGGGUAACCCUGAUGGGAUUUGCUAGUAGGUGAGGUAAUGGCUUACCUCGGCGACGAUCCCUAGCUGUUCUGAGAGGAUGAUCAGCCACACUGGGAUGGUGAACGGGCCCAUACUCCUACGGAGGAAGCAGUGGUGAAUAUUGACCAAGGGGCGGAAGCCUGGUGCAGCAAUGCGGCGGGUUUGAAGAACGCCCUAGGGUUGUAAAGUACGUUCAGUCGGGAGGCGUUACCGACAGAAGAAGCAACGGCUAACUCCGUGCCAGCCGCCGCGGUAAUAC